rnacentral:rRNA from 1 species
AACGAACGCUGGCGGCAGGCUUAACACAUGCAAGUCGAACGGGUGCAGCAAUGCAUCAGUGGCAGACGGGUGAGUAACACGUGGGAACCUUCCUAGGGGUACGGAACAACUCAGGGAAACUUGAGCUAAUACCGUAUACGUCCGUGAGGAGAAAGAUUUAUCGCCCUUAGACGGGCCCGCGUCGGAUUAGCUAGUUGGUGGGGUAACGGCCUACCAAGGCGACGAUCCGUAGCUGAUCUUAGAGGAUGAUCAGCCACACUGGGACUGAGACACGGCCCAGACUCCUACGGAAGGCAGCAGUGGGGAAUCUUGGACAAUGGGCGCAAGCCUGAUCCAGCCAUGCCGCGUGAGUGAAGAAGGUCUUCGGAUUGUAAAGCUCUUUUACCCGGGACGAUAAUGACUGUACCGGGAGAAUAAGCCCCGGCUAACUUCGUGCCAGCCGCCGCGGUAA